rnacentral:rRNA from 1 species
GACGAACGCUGGCGGCGUGCCUAAUACAUGCAAGUUGAGCGCUGAAGGUUGGUACUUGUACCAACUGGAUGAGCAGCGAACGGGUGAGUAACGCGUGGGGAAUCUGCCUUUGAGCGGGGGACAACAUUUGGAAACGAAUGCUAAUACCGCAUAAAAACUUUAAACACAAGUUUUAAGUUUGAAAGAUGCAAUUGCAUCACUCAAAGAUGAUCCCGCGUUGUAUUAGCUAGUUGGUGAGGUAAAGGCUCACCAAGGCGAUGAUACAUAGCCGACCUGAGAGGGUGAUCGGCCACAUUGGGACUGAGACACGGCCCAAACUCCUACGGGAGGCAGCAGUAGGGAAUCUUCGGCAAUGGACGAAAGUCUGACCGAGCAACGCCGCGUGAGUGAAGAAGGUUUUCGGAUCGUAAAACUCUGUUGGUAGAGAAGAACGUGGGUGAGAGUGGAAAGCUCAUCAAGUGACGGUAACUACCCAGAAAGGGACGGCUAACUACGU